CGCAGUGCCCGCGCCUGCCCGCGCCGCGCUCCGCGGCCGCGCUCCGGCCCCUCCGCCGCCUCCCCCGACCCUCCCGCCGGGCGGAGGAGGGGGAGGGAGAGAGGGGAGGAGGAGGAGACGGGAGGGGAGAGAAGAGAAGAGAGGCGAGAGACGCGCCGCAAGUUGCUGCCGCUCCUCCCUCCUUUCCCUGGCCGCGCCGCUGCCCGGCCCCUGCGGGCUGCGCUCCGCGGGAGGCGGCAUCCAGGGGCGCAGCGCUCCGCGGGGCCGGCGCCUCCCGGUGGAAACGUUUGUCAAUACUGUAUCUCACUUGAACAUCAAGCCCUACAGAGACUACAAGCUUAUUGAUGCCAUCAAAAACCCUAAAACCGUAAAAAUGUUUCUGAAUGUGGAAAAUGCACAGAAAAAGCAAAAAUAAUCUGAGUAUUGCAGAUAGUAAUCUGAGUUUGGAGGAGAUAUUUAGGUAAGUUUUUAUAUUAAAUGUUAUUAAAAUUUCAUAUUAAGUUUCUGUUGUGCACUGGUAGUCCAGGAGAUGCACUGGAAGUCUGGUUGUCUGUGGGUGUGACUGGUCAAACCCCACAAUUUAUUUUGGUGUAGAGUGAGAGAUCUGAAACUUGCAGGGUUGGGGUUUUUUUCCAUACAGAAGCAAAACUUUUGGAAACAUUAAUGAAACAAUAUGGAGAGAAACUCUUGCCAGAGCAGCCAAGUAUUUUGUCCAGGCACUUUCCUGUAGCAUCAGGAACCCAGCCUCAGAUCUCUUGUCUGACACAUCCUGGGCAAGUGCUGUUUAAUGCAGACCAUCAGUAGCUUUUGGUCUGGAGCCUGCAUCUCCUGCUUUCUCCUGCUCUCUCUACUCAUCUGGAAAUCGUAACCCACAUCUGGGAAAUAUUUCUAACAUCAGCUUUCUUAGGAAGUGACAUAGUAGUGCAAAACAUUUCAGUCACCUUCAGUUUCAAACUGUAUUUGAUAAAUUUAGAACCAGCUUUUUAGCAAAGCAGUGUGAGCAGUGGAUGUGUUCAGAUUUUCAGAAGGACCCAACGAGUUAACAGGCUUUAUAUUUUCUAAUGUGUAUGCUGAGGCACAUCACACAGUUGAGGUUGUGGUGACUGAGUUGCAGGUAGUGGUUUGUCCUCAGCCUUGUUGACUGGAAUGGCAGUAGACUGGUUUUCAUUUGGAUGCGUUGAGUUCCAUGUGCAAAGAUUUGUUGGUUUUCAUGAAGUUGGGUCAGAUUUGUAGGAUUCAUUUAAAUGAAAACUGGUAAAUGAAGGUUAACAGAUUACAUAUUGGCCAUGUAGUUUAAGAAAGCAGCUAUUUCAGAAAUAACUAGUCUAUUUGUGAAAUAAGCUAAUAAUAUUUAAUGACUUGUUUGAUUCUUACAAACAGUUACUUGUGCUUGUAGAUCCUAAUUGCAUGAGCAGAGUUCUGUACUUUGCACGGGCAGAGUUAUAUUUGUGUUGAAGUGUUUGUUGUAUUCAUGCCAAAAAAACAACCAAAAAAACCUUAUUAAGUUCUGAUCCUUAAAAUGUGUGUGUGCUUAACUUGACUGCUCAAAUAAUGUUGCUUUGGCAGUGUUGAUUACAACACUUUGAUCACGAAAUACCUCAUGUAAGGUGGUGGUGGUGGUGGGGAAUUAAUACAGCAGUAGUGUUGAUCUGUAUAAACAGUCAUUAAUGAGUACAUGUUGCACCCUUCCCUGGAGGCAGAAGAACAUGUUUCUGCUGAGUUGAUGAGUAAAAUUAAUUUGCUCACUAAAUAUACUUACUGUCUUGAGAUCCAGUUUGCUGCUGCUCUCUUAGCCCAAAGUCAGACUUGAGAGUGACUGUUUCUGUACUUUGCUGGGCAGAGAUUUCUCUGGGUGUUGAGGCCUUUAAUCCUGUCUGCUGUAUGUCAGCUGCACCACCUUCGGCUCAGUUCCCUGAGCUAGACUAGGGAUAGCACAAAAGCAUUUAUAAAGGUAAACAAGGGCGUUGUUUGAAUGUCUUUACAAAGAACAGAAGAUAAUUUCUUUGCCCACUGGAAGGGGAAUGUUUACUAUUUAGCAAGGAAGGAAAAGUACUAUCCUUUUAGGCUUUACAGAGUAGAAAAAAUUACUGCAGCUUAAAGCUGACUGGAGCCUCUGAACCUCUAAUGGUAGAUACCAGCAAGUCCUCAGCUGAGAUUUUGGGAUACCAAAGAAGAACCCGGGGAUCUAGCAGGGUAUGGACUAAGGUGAGACUAAGAGAGAAAUGUGGGAAUAAAACAAAAAAGCCACAUAUUGCAUAAAUGAAGAGUGGGGAAAGGAGAUCAACAAGGAGGUCACAAGGGUAGAUUUCUGUGAUUGUUGCUCUGAAGAGUGGCUGGCAAACAUUCCAUCUGACAGGAUUUUGUAUGGAUUUUGCAUGGCCAAAAUUUCAUUUAUAAUUAUAACUAGGUAUGUGAAUUUUUCUUCACUACUCUUGAGUGAAGUUGUUCGUGCAUUGUUUUUCAUGUUUAUUUUCUCAAAGGAGAAAAAAAUUUGCGGACUCCCCAGAUACUCUAAGAAGAAAAGCCAGCCGUUUAUUUAGGCUGGCUCUCAAUAUGCAGAAAGUUGCCUCCAGAGGAAAAUGCUAAUAUUUGGCUUUGGACUUUCCUGGGAACACAAAUAAACUGUUGGUUUUUUGUCUUUGGAGAUUUUGUAGGUGUUUUUAUUUCUUUCUUCUUCUUUAAAGUCUUUCUACUUAUCUAGCAUUUUGCAUAACUUUGAUAUUUAUCUUUGCAAUACAGUAAUUUACAUGAAGAUAUGCAGGGUUU
rnacentral:lncRNA from 1 species